rnacentral:rRNA from 1 species
GAUGAACGCUGGCGGCGUGCCUAAUACAUGCCAGUAGAACGCUGAAGGAGGAGCUUGCUCUUCUGGAUGAGUUGCGAACGGGUGAGUAACGCGUAGGUAACCUGCCUGGUAGCGGGGGAUAACUAUUGGAAACGAUAGCUAAUACCGCAUGACAACAGUUAUUGCAUGAUAACUGUUUAAAAGGGGCAACUGCUCCACUACCAGAUGGACCUGCGUUGUAUUAGCUAGUUGGUGAGGUAACGGCUCACCAAGGCGACGAUACAUAGCCGACCUGAGAGGGUGAUCGGCCACACUGGGACUGAGACACGGCCCAGACUCCUACGGGAGGCAGCAGUAGGGAAUCUUCGGCAAUGGACGGAAGUCUGACCGAGCAACGCCGCGUGAGUGAAGAAGGUUUUCGGAUCGUAAAGCUCUGUUGUAAGAGAAGAACGAGUGUGAGAGUGGAAAGUUCACACUGUGGCGGUAUCUUACCAGAAAGGGACGGCUAACUACGUG